rnacentral:rRNA from 1 species
AUUGAACGCUGGCGGAAUGCUUUACACAUGCAAGUCGAACGGCAGCACGGGUGCUUGCACCUGGUGGCGAGUGGCGAACGGGUGAGUAAUACAUCGGAACGUACCCAGUCGUGGGGGAUAACGUAGCGAAAGUUACGCUAAUACCGCAUACGUCCUGAGGGAGAAAGCGGGGGACCGUAAGGCCUCGCGCGAUUGGAGCGGCCGAUGUCUGAUUAGCUAGUUGGUGAGGUAAAGGCUCACCAAGGCGACGAUCAGUAGCUGGUCUGAGAGGAUGAUCAGCCACACUGGAACUGAGACACGGCCCAGACUCCUACGGGAGGCAGCAGUGGGGAAUUUUGGACAAUGGGCGCAAGCCUGAUCCAGUCAUGCCGCGUGUCUGAAGAAGGCCUUCGGGUUGUAAAGGACUUUUGUCAGGGAGGAAAUCCUAGUGGCUAAUAACUGCUGGGGAUGACAGUACCUGAAGAAUAAGCACCGGCUAACUACGUGCCAGCAGCCGCAGUAAUAC